rnacentral:rRNA from 1 species
GGUUAAGCGACUAAGCGUACACGGUGGAUGCCACGGCAGUCAGAGGCGAUGAAGGACGUGCUAAUCUGCGAUAAGCGUCGGUGAGGUGAUAUGAACCGUUAUAACCGGCGAUUUCCGAAUGGGGAAACCCAGUGUGUUUCGACACACUAUCAUUAACUGAAUCCAUAGGUUAAUGAGGCGAACCGGGGAACUGAAACAUCUAAGUACCCCGAGGAAAAGAAAUCAACCGAGAUUCCCCAGUAGCGGCGAGCGAACGGGGAGGAGCCCAGAGCCUGAAUCAGUGUGUGUGUUAGUGGAAGCGUCUGGAAAGGCGCGCGAUACAGGGUGACAGCCCCGUACACAAAAAUGCACAUGCUGUGAGCUCGAUGAGUAGGGCGGGACACGUGGUAUCCUGUCUGAAUAUGGGGGACCAUCCUCCAAGGCUAAAUACUCCUGACUGACCGAUAGUGAACCAGUACCGUGAGGGAAAGGCGAAAAGAACCCCGGCGAGGGGAGUGAAAAAGAACCUGAAACCGUGUACGUACAAGCAGUGGGAGCCUCUUAAUGGGGUGACUGCGUACCUUUUGUAUAAUGGGUCAGCGACUUAUAUUCUGUAGCAAGGUUAACCGAAUAGGGGAGCCGAAGGGAAACCGAGUCUUAACUGGGCGUUAAGUUGCAGGGUAUAGACCCGAAACCCGGUGAUCUAGCCAUGGGCAGGUUGAAGGUUGGGUAACACUAACUGGAGGACCGAACCGACUAAUGUUGAAAAAUUAGCGGAUGACUUGUGGCUGGGGGUGAAAGGCCAAUCAAACCGGGAGAUAGCUGGUUCUCCCCGAAAGCUAUUUAGGUAGCGCCUCGUGAAUUCAUCUCCGGGGGUAGAGCACUGUUUCGGCAAGGGGGUCAUCCCGACUUACCAACCCGAUGCAAACUGCGAAUACCGGAGAAUGUUAUCACGGGAGACACACGGCGGGUGCUAACGUCCGUCGUGAAGAGGGAAACAACCCAGACCGCCAGCUAAGGUCCCAAAGUCAUGGUUAAGUGGGAAACGAUGUGGGAAGGCCCAGACAGCCGUGAUGUUGGCUUAGAAGCAGCCAUCAUUUAAAGAAAGCGUAAUAGCUCACUGGUCGAGUCGGCCUGCGCGGAAGAUGUAACGGGGCUAAACCAUGCACCGAAGCUGCGGCAGCGACACUAUGUGUUGUUGGGUAGGGGAGCGUUCUGUAAGCCUGUGAAGGUGUGCUGUGAGGCAUGCUGGAGGUAUCAGAAGUGCGAAUGCUGACAUAAGUAACGAUAAAGCGGGUGAAAAGCCCGCUCGCCGGAAGACCAAGGGUUCCUGUCCAACGUUAAUCGGGGCAGGGUGAGUCGACCCUAAGGCGAGGCCGAAAGGCGUAGUCGAUGGGAAACAGGUUAAUAUUCCUGUACUUGGUGUUACUGCGAAGGGGGACGGAGAAGGCUAUGUUGGCCGGGCGACGGUUGUCCCGGUUUAAGCGUGUAGGCUGGUUUUCCGGGCAAAUCCGGAAAACCAAGGCUGAGGCGUGAUGACGAGGCACUACGGUGCUGAAGCGACAAAUGCCCUGCUUCCGGGAAAAGCCUCUAAGCAUCAGGUAACAUCAAAUCGUACCCCAAACCGACACAGGUGGUCAGGUAGAGAAUACCAAGGCGCUUGAGAGAACUCGGGUGAAGGAACUAGGCAAAAUGGUGCCGUAACUUCGGGAGAAGGCACGCUGAUAUGUAGGUGAAGCGACUUGCUCGUGGAGCUGAAAUCAGUCGAAGAUACCAGCUGGCUGCAACUGUUUAUUAAAAACACAGCACUGUGCAAACACGAAAGUGGACGUAUACGGUGUGACGCCUGCCCGGUGCCGGAAGGUUAAUUGAUGGGGUUAGCGGUAACGCGAAGCUCUUGAUCGAAGCCCCGGUAAACGGCGGCCGUAACUAUAACGGUCCUAAGGUAGCGAAAUUCCUUGUCGGGUAAGUUCCGACCUGCACGAAUGGCGUAAUGAUGGCCGGGCUGUCUCCACCCGAGACUCAGUGAAAUUGAACUCGCUGUGAAGAUGCAGUGUACCCGCGGCAAGACGGAAAGACCCCGUGAACCUUUACUAUAGCUUGACACUGAACAUUGAGCCUUGAUGUGUAGGAUAGGUGGGAGGCUUUGAAGUGUGGACGCCAGUCUGCAUGGAGCCGACCUUGAAAUACCACCCUUUAAUGUUUGAUGUUCUAACGUUGGCCCGUAAUCCGGGUUGCGGACAGUGUCUGGUGGGUAGUUUGACUGGGGCGGUCUCCUCCUAAAGAGUAACGGAGGAGCACGAAGGUUGGCUAAUCUCGGUCGGACAUCAGGAGGUUAGUGCAAUGGCAUAAGCCAGCUUGACUGCGAGCGUGACGGCGCGAGCAGGUGCGAAAGCAGGUCAUAGUGAUCCGGUGGUUCUGAAUGGAAGGGCCAUCGCUCAACGGAUAAAAGGUACUCCGGGGAUAACAGGCUGAUACCGCCCAAGAGUUCAUAUCGACGGCGGUGUUUGGCACCUCGAUGUCGGCUCAUCACAUCCCGGGGCUGAAGUAGGUCCCAAGGGUAUGGCUGUUCGCCAUUUAAAGUGGUACGCGAGCUGGGUUUAGAACGUCGUGAGACAGUUCGGUCCCUAUCUGCCGUGGGCGCUGGAGAACUGAGGGGGCUGCUCCUAGUACGAGAGGACCGGAGUGGACGCAUCACUGGUGUUCGGGUUGUCAUGCCAAUGGCACUGCCCGGUAGCUAAAUGCGGAAGAGAUAAGUGCUGAAAGCAUCUAAGCACGAAACUUGCCCCGAGAUGAGUUCUCCCUGAGACUUAGAGUCUCCUGAAGGAACGUUGAAGACGACGACGUUGAUAGGCCGGGUGUGUAAGCGCAGCGAUGCGUUGAGCUAACCGGUACUAAUGAACCGUGAGGCUUAACCUU